ACCAACUCUCUUGUUGUGCAGCUAGCCUCCCACGUGGUCCUCCGAGCCCUUGGACCUGGGCUGGCGGGUUUGAUUGCAGGUGCCCAAGACUAAGGACAGCUUGCAGCCCUUGUUGAACGUUCUGCUUAUCUGCUCAGCAUCUCUGUCCAGCCCGUUGCUGAUUGGGAGUUCAGCUGUCCCUCAGAGUCAUCUCUGGAGCAGGAGUUCCCUGUAGCUCGUAAAGAAGUCUUGUCUUCCAUGACUCCGUCCCACUGGGCCUCUAGAAAGUGUGGGAAACAGCUGAAUCCCUAUGAAACAGGUGACCCUGUGUUAUACACCUGCUCGCUCACCUGGGCCUACCAGGGGUGUGUUCAUGGGAGCCUCUCAGAUGUGCACAUCGCCGCCACAGAGGAAAAACGGCUGAAAACCUGCGGACCAGCAACAAGGCAGAGUUCAGACAGGCACACUGGAGCGAGCUGGCGAAAAGAAGCCUUACAAAUGACAUCUGCACUCCUAACCCUGGGAGACGCAUCUUUCGUGUGGCGGUUGGUUGGCGGUUUAUUGGUUUUAUCCUACCAGGACUGAAGUGAUCUGGCCCCUGCUCGCCUCUCCCAGUUAUAUUCACUUCCUUCAUGUUCAUCAGACACAGGGGUUUGGCCUUGUCUCUGUAAAGGGCCGGGCAGUAAAUAGUCUUGUUGAGCGUACCAUGUCGGCCACAGUGACUUGACUUUGCUGUUGUAGAGCAAAAGCAGCCAUGGGAGAUAAGAUGUGAACAAAUGAGAAUGCCAAUAAAACUUUGUUAAUAAAACCA
rnacentral:lncRNA from 1 species